AGAGCGCCGGAUGCCGGGAAGUUGGUCAAACUUGAUCAUUUAGAGGAAGUAAAAGUCGUAACAAGGUUUCCGUAGGUGAACCUGCGGAAGGAUCAUUACCGAUUUCCAAACGUGGUUGUCACGAACCCGUGUGAACCCGUCGCAACCAUCUUUAGGGGUCGGCCCGGGGGCCGUUAAAUGGUCGGGCGUCCGUCGAUUUGGCGUGCGGCCAGCCCCGCCUUUGUCACGUUUGACGCACUUGAACGUACCGAUUUGAAACGUUUCCCUGCCUGCUGCCAGCAGGUUGAAGAGGAAAGAAAAAAAAAAAAAGAGAGAGAGACAACUUUUAACGGUGGAUCUCUUGGCUCACGUAUCGAUGAAGAACGCAGCCAGCUGCGAUAAGUAGUGUGAAUUGCAGAAUUCAGUGAAUCAUCGAAUCUUUGAACGCAAAUGGCGCUCUUGGGUUCUCCCAGGAGCAUGUCUGUCUGAGUGUCGGAUAACAUGGAACGCAGCCCGAGGGCGUGCGGAAUUGGGGCGUCACGGCCCGACCGUGUCCCCCGAAGGAGAGCGUGCUGGAAUCGCUCGGCGACCCACCUCCGUGCGAAGGCUAAAAGGAAGCUAUAUCUUGAAGUCCUUCGCCGAGGUGCGGCUUCGCCGUGGCGGAUCGGCCGAAGGAAAGGUGAGACU
rnacentral:misc_RNA from 1 species